ensembl:snoRNA
UCCUGUGUGAGAAAUGAUGAGGGUCAACAUUCUUCAUAACCAAAGUGAAGACAUGAGAUCCAACUCUGAGCUCACCCUCUU